rnacentral:rRNA from 1 species
UCCGUAGGUGAACCUGCGGAAGGAUCAUUACCGAGUUGAUUCGGGCUCCGGCCCGAUCCUCCCACCCUUUGUGUGCCUACCUCUGUUGCUUUGGCGGGCCGCGGUUCUCCGCGGCCGCCCCCCUCCCCGGGGGGUGGUCAGCGCCCGCCAGAGGACCAUCAAACUCCAGUCAGUAAACGAUGCAGUCUGAAAAACAUUUAAUAAACUAAAACUUUCAACAACGGAUCUCUUGGUUCUGGCAUCGAUGAAGAACGCAGCGAAAUGCGAUAAGUAAUGUGAAUUGCAGAAUUCAGUGAAUCAUCGAAUCUUUGAACGCACAUUGCGCCCUUUGGUAUUCCGAAGGGCAUGCCUGUUCGAGCGUCAUUACAACCCUCAAGCUCUGCUUGGUAUUGGGCACCGUCCUAUGCGGGCGCGCCUCAAAGACCUCGGCGGUGGCGUCUUGCCUCAAGCGUAGUAGAACAUACAUCUCGCUUCGGAGCGCAGGGCGUCGCCCGCCGGACGAACCUUCUGAACUUUUCUCAAGGUUGACCUCGGAUCAGGUAGGGAUACCCGCUGAACUUAAGCAUAUCAAUAAGCGGAGGA